rnacentral:lncRNA from 1 species
UGGAUCUCUGUAUGAUGUAUGUCUCCAGUUUUUUUUCUUUUGAUUUUUAUAUCCCGAUCUGCUUUUAGUUGAUAAUAUGUUUGACCUUUAACUACCUAUAUUCUGCUACCUGAUUCCAUGUAUGCUUUGCUUAUUGUUUAUUGAAUGUGUAUUACGUGUUGGAAAAUGUCAUUUGGUGUCAAUGGUGGUUGUCACGUCUUGCUCUUUUCUUGUUAAGUAUAUUUCCUACUGCGUUUUCAUUUAGCUCCUUCACUUUCCAUUCUUGUGCAGGCAUGUUCUAUUUUGUAGGAUUCUGCUGCUCUGUCCGGUCACGCUUACCAAACCCUUACAAGUGAAGUGAUUAGUCAUACAUUAAGAAGUAAUGAAGUUUUGUUAAAUAAAUACAUUAAGCAAUGUAGUGUAUUGGUUUCUCGAAUACAAAACAGUGAGUCAUUCUGUAUUCACUGCUAAGGAAAAUAAACAUGAGCGGGGCUGGGUUGAUGUAACAUAAUUUUGUCUGUGAACCGCCAUUUUUUUGAUGUGGAAUAAAAGGGGAAUCAAGAAUUAUAAGUUAUUUGGGUUCAGCAAUUAGGUUACUUAAUCCGAUAAAUUGAGGUACAGUCAGCCGGGAUACGUGGGUCUGCUGCACUAGUAGCUAUUGUCAGGGUUUUAUGAUGUUGUUUGGUUAUGCUUACGCCUUACCUUGGUCGUUCGCGAUACUUUUUUGGUUGGCCAUCUAUUUGCACUAAAAAAAAUCGAAAAUGCAGAUGGUUCCUAAUGUGUUCGUUCUAGAACUUAAGGAUGCAUGUAUCCCUCAAACCUCUCAUUUUUUCUAAAGCCUAUCACAGCAUUUGUCAUAAAUGUCAUUCAUUCCGGGGGUUUUAUUUAUCUAUUUCGUCUGUUUAGUAUGAAAUUGUGAUUGGUUUAUUUUUUUUCUAUGAGGUAUUUUUAAUGAUAUUGCUUGAUGCUCUUUCCUUAAUACUUAUUGUUUUGAUUUUCUCUUUGCUCUCGUCCCUCUCUCUCACACACACACACACAGUUUUUGAUCUUCGUUCUAAUUAUAUGAUUUUUUUACUUCUGCCCCAACUCCGGGAUGCAUAGGCAGCCACAGCAUGUCAUGACUUUCUUGCUGGUUGAGAUGGGAACAAGUGGAUGGAUCACUUGAUGGACAUCAAAGAUUAGUUGUGAGGGCAUCCUGAGGAUAUAUGUCAGUAAGUUCCAUCUGUGUGAUUACUUGAUAUUAAAAACAAUAGCGACGAUAAUUGCCAAAUGUAGUUGUGAAUUAUGAAAAGUGAGCUCAUUUCUCACUAGCUUGGCUUCUAACCAAAGUAAGGCUAAAA